CUCCGUAGCUCCUUUAAAAUGGGCUCAGUAUAGCAUCUGCUGAGUUGUGGGAAAAGGUCGUUCAUGUGACUUUAUCUGAUUUUUCUUUCGUUUAGUGACAGGAAAUUUUCUCUUCUUUCUUUUCUUUCUCCUUCCUACCUACUUCCUGGCCUCCAUUCCAAUUUAAAAUCCAAGAGUUCUCAAAAUUUCUGGCGUGAAGAACAACAUGGGGUGUUUGGUGACUAACUUGAUGCUCAGGACCCACCUUCGGAAGAUCUGGACAGCUCUGCCGACAAGCAGCUCCCUUGUCACGCUGCAGCUGUGGCCCCAUGGAUCACGUACUGAGAACUGCUGCUACAGAGGAGACUGACCUCGGAAAUCACUCUGUUAACCAGGUGAUACUCAUGGGUCAUUUUUCUAGGACCUUAGAAUCUCAGGACAACA
rnacentral:lncRNA from 1 species